CUGGGGCGCCGCACAGUUGGUCGCACGGUGUGGUUUUCCAGUCGAAGCCUUGCCAAAUUCCCGGCAAGCGGAGCGGCGAGAGUGAGUCGGAAGUCAACGGCCUCCCCGGCGGCCUCCCAGCUCCAAAACCGAGCUCUCAGCUGCGGCGACAACGGCAGUUGCGGAGGCUGCCUUGGCCAGGGCAGCAACUUAGACCACCGUAGGCGGAGCGGAGGCCUUGGUGGAAUCUUGAUCCCGGGCCAGAGACGUAUCAAGAGGAGGCGGAGGGUCAUGCCUCUGGAAGACAAGAUGAGUAUUCUCGAGAAGCUGGACAAAGGCGUGAGUCAGGGGGAAGUGUACUGCCUUUUUGGCGUUAAUCAGUCGACCGUGCGCACCAUUUAGAAAAACGAGAGGACCAUCGGGCCAGCGUGGAGAGAAUGUCACCCAUUUGCUCCAAGCUGCUGUGCUUUCCUUGUGAUGUAAACAUCGAGAAGAUGGAGACUCCGUUAACUUUUUGGGUGUACCAUCAGACCAUUGGGGGUGGGGGUGGGAGGCCGGCAUCUGACCCCAAAGGCUAGUUGCAACUAGACCAAACAUCUAUAAGGAAGUCGUGGAAAUCUCUGGGGAGGGCAAGCCAGAUGAGUUACAUGCGAGCAAGGAAUGGCUUGAGAACUUUAAACAUCGCUACUGUCUGUGAAGGACGAGAUUGAUGAGGUAGGAAGGACAGUUAAAUGCUGAGUUGGCAUCCCAGUAUUCCAAGCAGCUGGAGAGACUGAUCAGAGAAACUAGAGGCUCUCUGCGCCUCAGCAGAUCUUCAACGCCAAGGAGAUGAGCCUAUUUUGGAAAUGCAUGCCUUCGCGUACUUUUAGGGAAAAAGACAAAAAUCCGGAAAGACUAGAGGAAGCUAAGCACAAGAUUUCCCUCAUUUUUUGGUGCCAGUGCCUCAGGUGACAAAAUGAUAAAACUGCUGCUGCUUUACAAAGACCAUAAUCCCACUUGUCUUUUGGAAAAAGCUAAAAAAUACCUUCCUGUUUUCUGGCGAUCACACCCCAUAGUAUCAGUAACUGCUGCCUUCUUUUUGGGUUGUUUUCAUAAUUGUUUUCUCUAUUAAGUCUGAAGUUAUUUAACAAAAAGUCUGGAAUUCAGAGUGCUGCUAAUUGUGGACAGAGGUCCCAAUCAUCCAGACUCAUUAUUCUUUGCUCUUUCUAAUGUUUAUAUUGUAUUUCUCCCUCAGGAAGGCACUAGUUUUCUCCAGCCCUUGGAUCUGGGUAUAAUUGAAGCAUUCAGGAGAUACUACACCAAGCAUGUAUGUUUGACCACUUGCUAACUGUGUUGGAAAAAAACCCUCUCCUUAGUUUGAAAGAAACAUGGCAACAUUACAUUACUGUUGCUUUGGUAGUGAUAAAAGAGGUAAUGGAUGGUAGAGAGCCAGCUACUCUUAAUAAAGCAUGGUGGAAACUUUGAGAGGAUGUUGUGAGUGAUUAUGCAUAUUUUUCUAGAACUGAUGAAGAAGUUGAAAAGUCACAGUGUUUGCAAAACAGAUUUUUUAAUUCAUCAGUAUCAAGGAAAGUGAAAUUAAUGAGCUACGCAAUUUUCAAUCUUUGGUCAUAAAUAAAGCAAAAGAGUUGAAGAAAGAAGGAAGACAAAUGAUAAAGAGGAAGUAGUGUGGGUGAAGGAGGUGGAUACAGAAUCUGAGUCUGAGUCCCGAUCAGAAUCGGAUAAGGGACAGGAGAAGGUAGACGAUAAGAAGAAGCGCUUGGAUCCUCCAGCAGCAGCACUCAGGAUCUUGAUAUAUCUGAAGAAGAUGCUCAAGCAGUGAAUACAGAAUUGAACUUUGGACUCUAACCUUGAAACUGAAUCUGGAGAGAGUAGAGGUUCCUACUCUCCAGAGGCUGGUUUUCCAAAUAAUAGUUCAUCUCCUGCCCCUUGUUACCCCAACGUAUCACCUUCAUCACUGCCAUCAUCCUAAUCAUCACCAGCCACACAUCCAUAUCAUUUAGUCAUUCAACAAACAUUGAGCUUAAAUUAUGCAGAGUCGAGCUAAACUUGGGGCCAUCAUCUCAAGAUAUCAUCUCUGGAUCUGAGCACUCUCGCAGGUCCCGGGCACUGUGCCAAGCCUGGCCAUGGGUUAUCUCACUGGAUCCUCACAGCAGCCCUGUGAGGAGGGAAACUGAGGCUGCAGAGAAGUAACCAGCUGGGGAGACACUGAGCCAAGAUUCAAACCUAGAUGCGGAAAUAGGCUCAGGAAGCAAUGGAACCUGGCCAAGGACAGACAGCUGGAAGCUGGUGCCCAGAGUGGGUCUCCGUAAGUUCUCACUGGCUUAAUGAAGCAAUGGAUCAAUAACUACGGUGGUGCCCAGCCUUCUGCUCUCUUCUUGGGAGAUGCCAGGGGGCCAUCAUUCUGUCUGGGCGGAGCAGUCAUCUGGCUGGGAGACAAGCCGGUCCCCAGCACAGGCUGGUGCACGGUGGGCUUUUGCACAAGGUCUGCUAAGGCCCUCAGAGCACUUUUCUAAAGAGCUGGUUGGAUGACGUUGGCUCUAAGAACGGCACCUGUGAAACCAGGCUCUGGCUUCUCUCACUGCCAGCGGCUGCGGGUGAGGGACCAGAAGGAAUUCCCCAGCAAUCCCCCCAUCACCGGUCUGAGCGCCAGGCUGGAGGAUGGGCAGGGGCCCGAGAGGAAAGGUUUACCCUCUUGAUCUUCCCGAGGUAAUACAGUCCGUCUGUCCACCGGCACAGCACAUACUGGCCUUCCGUCAGCUUGGACAUCAGGUCUUUGAAGUUGUUCUUGGCCUUCGCCAGGGCCCCCUUGUUGGGGAGGUGGCUGGUGGCACCAUAGGAGUCCCGAGUCCCUGGAUCCAGAGCUCGAUUCUCCAUCAGCUUCCGCUGACACUGGGAGAGAAAGAGAACGGAGCUUUUACCUCUUGCUCCCCUGCUCCAGAAAGCCCAGCACGAGAAGGGAAGAAACGUCCACAUUUGUAACCUGUGCUAGGUACAAGACAUGUUUAUUAUUUCACUGAAUACUCAUGACAACCUAUGAGGAAGACAUUAGUAUUCCCAUUUUACAGAAAGGGAAACCGAGGUUUGGUAAGAAGAGGCUCAUGGACCAGAGGCAGAGCCACGGUUCAUAAUUGAGGGAGCUCAGUCCUGUCUCUUCUCACCCUCACUGUGCUGCCUUCCAUAAAGAAUGGGUCUCUCAACAACACAGAGCAACGUCCCCUUCCCCGGGGGCCUCAGCCACACUCCCUGCCUCAGGAGGUGGAGGCUUUAUCCCUUUAUCCCUUAAGCAAACACACUCCGUGUUCUCUGGGUGAGGGCCUUCUCCAGGUGGUGGUGGGCCACCUCCCCCCAAACACAACAGCACACAGGCACUGCGCGGUUUUAUACCCCCCACCCCUUGCCUGAGAUCUGUCUAGAGAAAAGUCACCUAGAAAGGAAAACUCCUGGGCGGCUUGUGAACUGGUGUAGACUGGGCCAUCUGUGUCUUUGUA